rnacentral:sRNA from 1 species
UUUGGACUGAAGGGAU